AUUAACGCUGGCAGAGUGCAUAACACAUGCAAGUCGAGCGAGACUGGUCGCAAGAUCAGUCUAGCGGCAGACGAGUGAGUAACACGUAAAGAAUCUACCCUUGAAUGGCGAAUAACCAAUCGAAAGGCUGGCUAAUACGCCGUACUCUCCCUUGAAGGCAUCUUCGAGGGAGGAGAGAUCCGCAAGGAUCGUUCUUGGAGGACUUUGCGGCCCAUCAGCUAGUUGGCGGUGUAAUAGACCACCGAGGCUACGACGGGUACCCGGCCUGAAAGGGCGGACGGGCACGAUGGCACUGAGACACGGGCCAUACUCCUACGGGAGGCAGCAGUGGGGAAUUUUGGACAAUGGGCGAAAGCCUGAUCCAGCAACUCUGCGUGAGGGACGAAGGUCUUCGGAUCGUAAACCUCUUUUACAU
rnacentral:rRNA from 1 species